UAUUAACUCUUACAUAAUUCUUAACACAUUCAAUUCAACUUUUGUCGGACGUUUUAUUAACGCGUAAAGAACUUUCCUCACAUAUAUGUACAACAUUUGGAAACUAAUGCUAAUACCUGAUACUGUGAGAGAGCUUUGCGUCCCAUUAGCUAGUUGGAGAGGUAACGGCUCACCAAGGCGAUGAUGGGUAGCCGGCCUGAGAGGAUGAUCGGCCACAAGGGGACUGAGACACGGCCCUUACUCCUACGGGAGGCAGCAGUGGGGAAUAUUGGACAAUGGACGAAAGUCUGAUCCAGCAAUUCUGUGUGAACGAUGAAGUUUUCGGAAUGUAAAGUGCUUUCAGUGGGGAAGCGGUACCAACAGAAGAAGUGACGGCUAAAUACGUGCCAGCAGCCGCGGUAAUAC
rnacentral:rRNA from 1 species